rnacentral:rRNA from 1 species
GACGAACGCUGGCGGCGUGCUUAACACAUGCAAGUCGAACGGAAAGGCCCUGCUUUUGUGCGCUCCUCGAGUGGCGAACGGGUGAGUAGCACGUGAGUAACCUGCCAUUGACUUUGGGAUAACUUCAGGAAACUGGGGCUCAUACCGCAUAGGAGCUCCUGCUGCAUGGUGGGGGCUGGAAAGUUUCGGCGGUUGGGGAUGUACUCGCGGCUCAUUAGCUUGAUGGUGGGGUAGUGUAUUACCAAGGCUUUGACGCGUAGCAUGCCUGAGCGGAGGAGCGGACACACUACAAUGGAACUGCGGCACAGACUACAAUGCGACGGGGGGGUGGGGAAUAGAGUAUAAUGGACUGAGGCAAGAUGCAGCACCGCCGUGUGGGGUAUGUCGUCCUUCGGUUAGUAAAGCGAUGUUGCCUGUGACGAAGCGAUAGUGACGGUAAUGGGUAAAGAAGCACCGGCUAACUACGUG